rnacentral:rRNA from 1 species
AGCGUACACGGUGGAUGCCCUGGCAGUCAGAGGCGAUGAAGGACGUGCUAAUCUGCGAUAAGCGUCGGUGAGGUGAUAUGAACCGUUAUAACCGGCGAUUUCCGAAUGGGGAAACCCAGUGUGUUUCGACACACUAUCAUUAACUGAAUCCAUAGGUUAAUGAGGCGAACCGGGGGAACUGAAACAUCUAAGUACCCCGAGGAAAAGAAAUCAACCGAGAUUCCCCCAGUAGCGGCGAGCGAACGGGGAGGAGCCCAGAGCCUGAAUCAGUGUGUGUGUUAGUGGAAGCGUCUGGAAAGGCGUGCGAUACAGGGUGACAGCCCCGUACACAAAAAUGCACAUAUUGUGAGCUCGAUGAGUAGGGCGGGACACGUGGUAUCCUGUCUGAAUAUGGGGGGACCAUCCUCCAAGGCUAAAUACUCCUGACUGACCGAUAGUGAACCAGUACCGUGAGGGAAAGGCGAAAAGAACCCCGGCGAGGGGAGUGAAAAAGAACCUGAAACCGUGUACGUACAAGCAGUGGGAGCCUCUUAAUGGGGUGACUGCGUACCUUUUGUAUAAUGGGUCAGCGACUUAUAUUCUGUAGCAAGGUUAACCGAAUAGGGGAGCCGAAGGGAAACCGAGUCUUAACUGGGCGUUAAGUUGCAGGGUAUAGACCCGAAACCCGGUGAUCUAGCCAUGGGCAGGUUGAAGGUUGGGUAACACUAACUGGAGGACCGAACCGACUAAUGUUGAAAAAUUAGCGGAUGACUUGUGGCUGGGGGUGAAAGGCCAAUCAAACCGGGAGAUAGCUGGUUCUCCCCGAAAGCUAUUUAGGUAGCGCCUCGUGAAUUCAUCUCCGGGGGUAGAGCACUGUUUCGGCAAGGGGGUCAUCCCGACUUACCAACCCGAUGCAAACUGCGAAUACCGGAGAAUGUUAUCACGGGAGACACACGGCGGGUGCUAACGUCCGUCGUGAAGAGGGAAACAACCCAGACCGCCAGCUAAGGUCCCAAAGUCAUGGUUAAGUGGGAAACGAUGUGGGAAGGCCCAGACAGCCAGGAUGUUGGCUUAGAAGCAGCCAUCAUUUAAAGAAAGCGUAAUAGCUCACUGGUCGAGUCGGCCUGCGCGGAAGAUGUAACGGGGCUAAACCAUGCACCGAAGCUGCGGCAGCGACACUAUGUGUUGUUGGGUAGGGGAGCGUUCUGUAAGCCUGUGAAGGUGUACUGUGAGGUAUGCUGGAGGUAUCAGAAGUGCGAAUGCUGACAUAAGUAACGAUAAAGCGGGUGAAAAGCCCGCUCGCCGGAAGACCAAGGGUUCCUGUCCAACGUUAAUCGGGGCAGGGUGAGUCGACCCCUAAGGCGAGGCCGAAAGGCGUAGUCGAUGGGAAACAGGUUAAUAUUCCUGUACUUGGUGUUACUGCGAAGGGGGGACGGAGAAGGCUAUGUUGGCCGGGCGACGGUUGUCCCGGUUUAAGCGUGUAGGCUGGUUUUCCAGGCAAAUCCGGAAAACCAAGGCUGAGGCGUGAUGACGAGGCACUACGGUGCUGAAGCAACAAAUGCCCUGCUUCCAGGAAAAGCCUCUAAGCAUCAGGUAACAUCAAAUCGUACCCCAAACCGACACAGGUGGUCAGGUAGAGAAUACCAAGGCGCUUGAGAGAACUCGGGUGAAGGAACUAGGCAAAAUGGUGCCGUAACUUCGGGAGAAGGCACGCUGAUAUGUAGGUGAAGCGACUUGCUCGUGGAGCUGAAAUCAGUCGAAGAUACCAGCUGGCUGCAACUGUUUAUUAAAAACACAGCACUGUGCAAACACGAAAGUGGACGUAUACGGUGUGACGCCUGCCCGGUGCCGGAAGGUUAAUUGAUGGGGUUAGCGGUAACGCGAAGCUCUUGAUCGAAGCCCCGGUAAACGGCGGCCGUAACUAUAACGGUCCUAAGGUAGCGAAAUUCCUUGUCGGGUAAGUUCCGACCUGCACGAAUGGCGUAAUGAUGGCCAGGCUGUCUCCACCCGAGACUCAGUGAAAUUGAACUCGCUGUGAAGAUGCAGUGUACCCGCGGCAAGACGGAAAGACCCCGUGAACCUUUACUAUAGCUUGACACUGAACAUUGAGCCUUGAUGUGUAGGAUAGGUGGGAGGCUUUGAAGUGUGGACGCCAGUCUGCAUGGAGCCGACCUUGAAAUACCACCCUUUAAUGUUUGAUGUUCUAACGUGGGCCCCUUACCGGGGUUGCGGACAGUGUCUGGUGGGUAGUUUGACUGGGGCGGUCUCCUCCUAAAGAGUAACGGAGGAGCACGAAGGUUGGCUAAUCCUGGUCGGACAUCAGGAGGUUAGUGCAAUGGCAUAAGCCAGCUUGACUGCGAGCGUGACGGCGCGAGCAGGUGCGAAAGCAGGUCAUAGUGAUCCGGUGGUUCUGAAUGGAAGGGCCAUCGCUCAACGGAUAAAAGGUACUCCGGGGAUAACAGGCUGAUACCGCCCAAGAGUUCAUAUCGACGGCGGUGUUUGGCACCUCGAUGUCGGCUCAUCACAUCCUGGGGCUGAAGUAGGUCCCAAGGGUAUGGCUGUUCGCCAUUUAAAGUGGUACGCGAGCUGGGUUUAGAACGUCGUGAGACAGUUCGGUCCCUAUCUGCCGUGGGCGCUGGAGAACUGAGGGGGGCUGCUCCUAGUACGAGAGGACCGGAGUGGACGCAUCACUGGUGUUCGGGUUGUCAUGCCAAUGGCACUGCCCGGUAGCUAAAUGCGGAAGAGAUAAGUGCUGAAAGCAUCUAAGCACGAAACUUGCCCCGAGAUGAGUUCU